AUAUUUCUGUAAAUUUAAUCGUCAAUAUCCGAUUGUGUUACAUUUAAACAAUAAAAUGUUUUCUUUGGGGAUUCAUGCAGGAUAUGAAGGAGGCGGCAUAGCAGAAAAAAAUAGAUAACCCGCGUUAGCGGAUUAUUUAAUUUUUUUCUACAAUGAUUUCUACCAUCAUAAUAAAAUUGAUUGUAAAAAGUAAGUUUAAUUCACUAUAUUACUGUUAUAGAACAUCAGUACGUUAAAUAAAAGAAACAGCCAAAUCGUCUCCUGUGAAACUUUUGAGUCCAACAUCAUCUUGAUUAUUUCGUGCAGUCCGUGAUCUUUCUUAGGUCGCUGUAGGAUUCGACCAAUCGAUAAAAGGGGGCGUGUAGAUUUCAGUGUGAUUGUUUCUAUAGAACUGAAUUGAUUAUAAGUUUCCGUAAGAAAUAGAGGGAAUCAUACUCAGUAGAUGUAAAUAUUAUACUGUAAACAACCGUUAAUCAAUCAGAAAUGUAUAAACAUUGAUAUGCGAUAACUUUAACUCAAAGAUUUUUUUUCAUUUUAUAGUAUUACAUGUAAUAUAAAUAUAUAUUAAAUCAAUUCUUGUAUUGCCAAAAUAAUAUUUAAAAUCAGAACAGAAAACAGUUUUACAAUUUUUUUGUUUCGCAUUUAAUUGCAAAAAUAUAGCUUAUUGGUUUAAUAUUCAAGGAAAUCUUUUUUUCUUUAAUGUGUACAGUUUAUUACUUAUAUUAUGGUUCUAUUGACAGGUCGAGUUUGUUAUACGCCAUUUAAAUUGGAAUUUCAUUUUUUUUUUUUUUUAGUUUUCCUAAUAGCUACACUCAUAUAUAAACCAUCUGUUAUUCAUUGUACAAUGAGAUAUCAAUUAUUUGUUUAUGGCCACGAUGAACAUUUUCAUGACUAUACUGUUGAAGUUUAGUACAUUUUAAUAAUUGCAUGAUAAUUGUUUAGCCGUGGAUUGACUGUGUGGCUAUUAUAUCUCAUUGUAAAAUCUUGAUCGAUAACCAGGUGAUUACUGUACAUUGUAUUCUUUUCUGAAUAAAGAUUUAUUUU
rnacentral:misc_RNA from 1 species